GGUGUAGGGGUGAAAUGCGCAGAUAUCAGGAGGAACACCGGUGGUGAAGGCGGGUCUUUGGGCCGAUACUGACGCUGAGGAGCGAAAGCGUGGGGAGCGAACAGGAUUAGAUACCCUGGUGGUCCACGCCGUAAACGGUGGAAACCAGGUGUGGGCAGCAUUCCACGUGUUUUGUGCCGCAGCUAACGCCUUAAGUUCCCCGCCUGGGGAGUACGGCCGCAAGGCUAAAACUCAACGGAAUUGACGGGGGCCCGCACAAGCGGCGGAGCAUGUGGCUUAAUUUGACGCAACGCGAAGAACCUUACCAAGGCUUGACAUAUGCCGGAUAUCCCGGAGACAGGGCUUCUCUUUGAGUCGGUGUACAGGUGGUGCAUGGCCGUCGUCAGCUCGUGUCGUGAGAUGUUGGGUUAAGUCCCGCAACGAGCGCAACCCUUGUCCUGUGUUGCCAGCACGCCCUUCGGGGUGGUGGGGACUCACGGGAGACUGCCGGGGUCAACUCGGAGGAAGGUGGGGACGAAGUCAAGUCAUCAUGCCCCUUAUGUCUUGGGCUGCACACCUGCUACAAUGGCCGGUACAAUGAGGUGUGAUGCCUUGAGGUGGAGCGAAUCUCAAAAAGCCGGUCUCAGUUCUGAUUGGGGUCUGCAACUCGACCCCAUGAAGUCGGAGUUUCU
rnacentral:rRNA from 1 species